rnacentral:lncRNA from 1 species
GAAAGGAACGCUGUGGUAGCAAAGGCAUCCAAGCAAACAAGGAUUUGUUUUGAGCCAACAAGGAGUAUCUUUGUACCAUCUCUACUGGGAAAAUAUAAAUGAUACAGAAGAGCUUAAUUCAGAGGAAUACAUCCAAAUCCUUCCUCCUGGCCUAUAAUGUCCAAAUGCUCAUGAAAACAGAAAAUAACCUUUAUCCUAAAAAAGGUCAAGCAACUCUUCUCCAACUGGAUCCCAGAGACCCAGAUUGCACCACCGUCUUCAAUAUGUUGCUAUCAAGGUCUCAGUGGAAGGUAAAGAGGACAAAGUAUCACGCGGGAGGUUUUUAUGAGCCAGGCCAGGCAUGCAUCACCUCCAUGCACAUUCCACUGGCCAGAACCUAUUGCAAAAAAGCUGGAAAACAUAGAUUACCUGUGUGCCUGGGUAGAAGAGGAGAAAAAUGGUUAUUAGCGAGCACUCAAGUCUGUGCCAAACAACUGUAUUUUUAG